rnacentral:rRNA from 1 species
ACUCCUACGGGAGGCAGCAGUAGGGAAUCUUCCACAAUGGACGAAAGUCUGAUGGAGCAACGCCGCGUGAACGAUGAAGGCCUUCGGUCGUAAAGUUCUGUUGUAAGGGAAGAACAAGUGCCGCAGGCAAUGGCGGCACCUUGACGGUACCUUGCGAGAAAGCCACGGCUAACUACGUGCCAGCAGCCGCGGUAAUACGUAGGUGGCAAGCGUUGUCCGGAAUUAUUGGGCGUAAAGCGCGCGCAGGCGGCCUCUUAAGUCUGAUGUGAAAGCCCCGGCUCAACCGGGGGAGGGCCAUUGGAAACUGGGAGGCUUGAGUAUAGGAGAGAAGAGUGGAAUUCCACGUGUAGCGGUGAAAUGCGUAGAGAUGUGGAGGAACACCAGUGGCGAAGGCGACUCUUUGGCCUAUAACUGACGCUGAGGCGCGAAAGCGUGGGGAGCAAACAGGAUUAGAUACCCUGGUAGGAUAGCG